UACUUUCAAAUACGAUAAGAGAGUUUGACU
rnacentral:piRNA from 1 species